rnacentral:rRNA from 1 species
AGCCACCCCCAAAGAUUGCGUCAAAGCUCCAUCGACUAAAACACCAAAGACUAACACGACUCCCUGCACCUAUAGUAGGCCAACCUAUAACAAUAGAUGAAUCAAUACUAGAACGAGUAACCCGGACACCAUGUCCCCCCAAGCGCCAGCCUAAACGCCAUUAACAGCACAAACCCCAAUAACAACCACACCACACCCCCAACCAUUGAACACACCCUGUUAAUCCAACUCAGGGGCGCACAUUGGAGUGAUCAAAGUCUACAAAAGGAACUCGGCAAACCCAAGACCCGACUGUUUACCAAAAACAUAGCCUUCAGCCAAACAAGUAUUGAAGGUGAUGCCUGCCCAGUGACACCAUGUUUAACGGCCGCGGUAUCCUAACCGUGCAAAGGUAGCGCAAUCAAUUGUCCCAUAAAUCGAGACCUGUAUGAAUGGCUAAACGAGGUCUUAACUGUCUCCUGUAGACAAUCGGUGAAACUGAUCUCUCUGUACAAAAGCAGAGAUAAGCACAUAAGACGAGAAGACCCUGUGGAACUUCAAAAUCAACAGCCACCUCACCCUAUCCACAAACCCAUACGGGUCCACCACCCAAGACACUGGCUGACAUUUUUAGGUUGGGGCGACCUUGGAGAAAAACAAACCCUCCAAAAACAAGGCCAAACUCCUUAACUAAGAGCAACCCCUCAACGUACUAAUAGUACCCAGACCCAGUAAAUCUGACCAAUGAACCAAGCUACCCCAGGGAUAACAGCGCAAUCUCCUCCAAGAGCCCCUAUCGACGAGGAGGUUUACGACCUCGAUGUUGGAUCAGGACAUCCUAGUGGUGCAGCCGCUACUAAGGGUUCGUUUGUUCAACGAUUAACAGUCCUACGUGAUCUGAGUUCAGACCGGAGCAAUCCAGGUCGGUUUCUAUCUAUGACCAACCUUUCCCAGUACGAAAGGACCGGAAAGGUGGGGCCAAUACUCCAAGCAUGCCCCCUCCCCCAAGUGAUGUCCUCCACUAAAUCACCAAAGGACCUCCCU